AAGAGAAACAGAAAAUAAACAGACCUCCACUGGCUCCGUCCGGGAUGCUGUCCGCUUGGCCACACGUGCCCUCCACUGCCCCAGGCCCAUCUCCAGCCAAACCCAAGUUCGUCCACCUGAUGCACCGCAAGCAAACAAAAACCGAC
rnacentral:lncRNA from 1 species